GACAGAGGUGCCGAGCGUUAGGCGGAAUCACUGGGCUUAAAGCGCGUGUAGGCGGGACGGCACGUCUGUCGCUGAAAUCCCCCGGCUUAACCGGGGAACUGGCGGAGAUACGACCGUCCUGGAGGGGCGUAGGGGGACCUGGAACUUCCGGUGGAGCGGUGAAAUGCGUUGAGAUCGGAAGGAACGCCCGUGGCGAAAGCGAGGUCCUGGACGCCUACUGACGCUGAGACGCGAAAGCCAGGGGAGCGAACGGG
rnacentral:rRNA from 1 species